GCUCGACUCCUUCCCCUAUUA
rnacentral:tRNA from 1 species